rnacentral:rRNA from 1 species
UACGUAGGGUGCAAGCGUUGUCCGGAAUUUAUUGGGCGUAAAGAGCUCGUAGGCGGUCUGUCGCGUCGGCUGUGAAAACUCGGGGCUCAACCCCGAGCCUGCAGUCGAUACGGGCAGACUAGAGUGCAGUAGGGGAGACUGGAAUUCCUGGUGUAGCGGUGAAAUGCGCAGAUAUCAGGAGGAACACCGGUGGCGAAGGCGGGUCUCUGGGCCGUAACUGACGCUGAGGAGCGAAAGCGUGGGGAGCGAACAGG